rnacentral:rRNA from 1 species
GGAACUCGGGUAAUACCGCAUACGCACUACGGUGGAAAGCUGGGACCGCAAGGCCUGGCGCUAACAGAUGAGCCCCAAGUCGGAUUAGCUAGUUGGUAGGGUAAAGGCCUACCAAGGCGACGAUCCGUAACUGGUCUGAGAGGACGACCAGUCACACCGGAAUUGAGACACGGUCCGGACUCUUACGGGAGGCAGCAGUGGGGAAUAUUGGACAAUGGGGAAAGCCUGAUCCAGCGACGCCGCGUGGGUGAAGAAGGCCUGCGGGUUGUAAAGCCCUCUCGGUGGGGAAGAAAAGCCUCGACCUAAUACGUCGGGGUCUUGACGUAACCCAUAGAAGAAGCACCGGCUAACUCUGUGCCAGCAGCCGCGGUAAUACAGAGGGUGCGAGCGUUAAUCGGAAUUACUGGGCGUAAAGCGCGCGUAGGCGGCUUUGCAAGUCGGAUGUGAAAUCCCCGGGCUUAACCUGGGAACUGCAUUCGAGACUGCAUUGCUAGAGUAUGGGAGAGGGAAGUGGAAUUUCCGGUGUAGCGGUGAAAUGCGUAGAUAUCGGAAGGAACAUCAGUGGCGAAAGCGACUUCCUGGACCAAUACUGACGCUCAUGUGCGAAAGCGUGGGGAGCAAACAGGAUUAGAUACCCUGGUAGUCCACGCCAUAAACGAUGAGAACUGGAUGUCGGGAGGGUCUGCCUCUCGGUGUCGUAGCUAACGCGUUAAGUUCUCCGCU